AUUUAAAUAGCUUAUAUUAGAGCAUAGUAUUGAAGAUACUAAGGAAAUUUUUAUAUUUUUAAAUA
rnacentral:tRNA from 1 species